rnacentral:rRNA from 1 species
UGUGGGGAUGCAUUGUGCAGGGUCUGCUAGUCCUGCGUUGUGUUGUGUGGGUGUAGCGGAAGUGGAUUGGAAUGUCCUGCCGUAGACGGUGAGAGUCCGGUACGUGAAACACCCGUGCGUGCAAUUGGUGUGUUGCCCGAGUAGCAGCGGGCUCGUGGAAUCUGCUGUGAAUCUGCCGGGACCACCCGGUAAGCCUAAAUACCUGCUUAUGACCGAUAGCGGAUUAGUACCGUGAGGGAAUGGUGAAAAGUACCCCGGGAGGGGAGUGAAAUAGUACCUGAAACCAUGUGCUUACAAUCCGUCAGAGCCCUUUUU